GGGUUAAGAUUUCCCGAGCCGGGAUGUGGCGGUUGACGGCGACGUUAGGAAGUCCGGAGACGCCGGCGGGGGCCUCGGCGAGAGUUAUCUUUUCUGCUUAACGGCCUGCCAACCCUGGAAACGGUUCAGCCGGAGGUAGGGUCCAGUGGCCGGAAGAGCACCGCACGUCGCGCGGUGUCCGGUGCGCCCCCGGCGGCCCAUGAAAA
rnacentral:ncRNA from 1 species